rnacentral:rRNA from 2 species
GCAGCAGUAGGGAUCUUCCGCAAUGGACGAAAGUCUGACGGAGCAACGCCGCGUGAGUGAUGAAGGUUUUCGGAUCGUAAAACUCUGUUGUUAGGGAAGAACAAGUACCGUUCGAAUAGGGCGGUACCUUGACGGUACCUAACCAGAAAGCCACGGCUAACUACGUGCCAGCAGCCGCGGUAAUACGUAGGUGGCAAGCGUUGUCCGGAAUUAUUGGGCGUAAAGCGCGCGCAGGCGGUUUCUUAAGUCUGAUGUGAAAGCCCCCGGCUCAACCGGGGAGGGUCAUUGGAAACUGGGGAACUUGAGUGCAGAAGAGGAGAGUGGAAUUCCACGUGUAGCGGUGAAAUGCGUAGAGAUGUGGAGGAACACCAGUGGCGAAGGCGACUCUCUGGUCUGUAACUGACGCUGAGGCGCGAAAGCGUGGGGAGCGAACAGGAUUAGAUACCCUGGUAGUCCACGCCGUAAACGAUGAGUGCUAAGUGUUAGAGGGUUUCCGCCCUUUAGUGCUGCAGCAAACGCAUUAAGCACUCCGCCUGGGGAGUACGGUCGCAAGACUGAAACUCAAAGGAAUUGACGGGGCCCC